UACGGAGGGAGCUAGCGUUGUUCGGAAUUACUGGGCGUAAAGCGCACGUAGGCGGCUUUGUAAGUUAGGGGUGAAAGCCUGGAGCUCAACUUCAGAAUUGCCCUUAAGACUGCAUCGCUUGAAUCCAGGAGAGGGAAGCGGAAUUUCCGGUGUAGCGGUGAAAUGCGUAGAUAUCGGAAGGAACAUCAGUGGCGAAAGCGGCUUCCUGGUCCAGCACCGACGUUCAGGCACGAAAGCGUGGGGAGCAAACAGG
rnacentral:rRNA from 1 species